UGGGGAAUAUUGCACAAUGGGCGAAAGCCUGAUGCAGCAACGCCGCGUGAGUGAUGAAGGCCUUCGGGUUGUAAAGCUCUGUCUUUUGGGACGAUAAUGACGGUACCAAAGGAGGAAGCCACGGCUAACUACGUGCCAGCAGCCGCGGUAAUACGUAGGUGGCAAGCGUUGUCCGGAUUUACUGGGCGUAAAGGAUGCGUAGGCGGAUUUUUAAGUGAGAUGUGAAAACCCUAAGCUUAACUUGGGGACUGCAUUUCAUACUGGAAAUCUAGAGUGCGGGAGAGGAGAAUGGAAUUCCUAGUGUAGCGGUGAAAUGCGUAGAGAUUAGGAAGAACACCAGUGGCGAAGGCGAUUCUCUAGACCGUAACUGACGCUGAGGCAUGAAAGCGUGGGUAGCAAACAGGAUUAGAUACCCUGGUAGUCCACGCCGUAAACGAUGAGUACUAGGUGUAGGAGGUAUCGACCCCUUCUGUGCCGCAGUUAACACAAUAAGUACUCCGCCUGGGAAGUACGAUCGCAAGAUUAAAACUCAAAGGAAUUGACGGGGUCAUAGCUG
rnacentral:rRNA from 1 species